GAGGAGAAUGGAGCAUGGCGGUGUAGCGGCUGGCUUAGAAACCAGAGGUGGGGGUUCGAUUCCCUCCGUUCUUGAGGC